UGGUGAAUUUUGGACAAUGGGCGCAAGCCUGAUCCAGCCAUGCCGCGUGAGUGAAGAAGGCCUUCGGGUUGUAAAGCUCUUUCAGACGGAAAGAAAACUUUUGGGCUAAUACCCUGGGAGGAUGACGGUACCGUAAGAAGAAGCACCGGCUAACUACGUGCCAGCAGCCGCGGUAAUACGUAGGGUGCGAGCGUUAAUCGGAAUUACUGGGCGUAAAGCGUGCGCAGGCGGUGAUGUAAGACAGAUGUGAAAUCCCCGGGCUCAACCUGGGAACUGCCUUUGUGACUGCAAGGCUGGAGUGCGGCAGAGGGGGAUGGAAUGCCGCGUGUAGCAGUUAAAUGCGUAGAUAUGCGGAGGAACACCGAUGGAGAAGGCAAUCCCAUGGGCCUGCACUGACGCUCAUGCACGAAAGCGGGGGGAGCAAACA
rnacentral:rRNA from 1 species